GACGAACGCUGGCGGCGUGCUUAACACAUGCAAGUCGAACGGAAAGGCCCUGCUUUUGUGGGGUGCUCGAGUGGCGAACGGGUGAGUAACACGUGAGUAACCUGCCCUUGACUUUGGGAUAACUUCAGGAAACUGGGGCUAAUACCGGAUAGGAGCUCCUGCUGCAUGGUGGGGGUUGGAAAGUUUCGGCGGUUGGGGAUGGACUCGCGGCUUAUCAGCUUGUUGGUGGGGUAGUGGCUUACCAAGGCUUUGACGGGUAGCCGGCCUGAGAGGGUGACCGGCCACAUUGGGACUGAGAUACGGCCCAGACUCCUACGGGAGGCAGCAGUGGGGAAUAUUGCACAAUGGGCGGAAGCCUGAUGCAGCAACGCCGCGUGCGGGAUGACGGCCUUCGGGUUGUAAACCGCUUUCGCCUGUGACGAAGCGUGAGUGACGGUAAUGGGUGAAGAAGCACCGGCUAACUACGUG
rnacentral:rRNA from 1 species